UUGCAUCCACUGAUAGACCUGAAGCAGGUUUAUUUGGCUUCUAGGUUUGCAUAGAGAUGCUAAACUAAACCUUCCUCAUGCUUUCUGACUGCUCAGUCUAUAGCAGCACAGAUUGCGUUGAGGAAUACAUGU
ensembl:snoRNA small nucleolar RNA SNORA31